rnacentral:rRNA from 1 species
CAAUAGCGUAUAUUAAAGCUGUUGCGGUUAAAAAGCUCGUAGUUGGAUUUCUGUCAAGGACAACUGGUCCGCCCCUCGGGUGAGCACAUAGUUUGGUCUUGGCAUCUUGUUGGAAACUUUUGCUGCACUUGGUUGUGUGGCGCAGUGUCCAGCACUUUCACUUUGAGGAAAUUGGAGUGUUUCAAGCAGGCACAUGCCUUUGGACACAGUAGCAUGGAAUAAUUAGAUUGGGCUUUUGCUCCAACUUGUCGGUUUCUGGAGCUGAGGUGAGAAUUAAUGGGGAUUGUUGGGGGCAUCCGAAUUUAGCCGUCAGAGGUGAAAUUCUUGGAUCUGCUAAAGACGGACAACUGCGAAAGCGUUUGCCCAGGAUGUUUUCAUUGA